CACGUAGGGUGCGAGCGUUGUCCGGAAUUACUGGGCGUAAAGCGUGCGCAGGCGGUUCUCCAAGUCCGUUGUGAAAGCCCCGGGCUCAACCUGGGAAUGGCAGUGGAAACUAGGGGACUGGAAUCUGGCAGAGGGGGUGGAAUGCCGCGUGUAGCAGUGAAAUGCGUAGAGAUGCGGCGGAACACCGAUGGCGAAGGCAGCCCCCUGGGCUGAGAUUGACGCUCAGGCACGAAAGCGUGGGGAGCAAACAGG
rnacentral:rRNA from 1 species